GACGAACGCUGGCGGCGUGCCUAAUACAUGCAAGUCGAACGCAGUGGGGACGGGUGAGUAACACGUGGGUAACCUCCCAUCAGAGGGGAUAACACUUGGAAACAGGUGCUCAACCGAUACUGCUGGAUGGACCCGCGGUGCAUUAGUUAGUGGGUGGGGUAACGGCGCACCAAGGACACGAUGCAGAGCUGGGCUGGGAGGGGGAUAGGCCACACUGGGACGGAGACACGGCCCAGACGACUACGGGAGGCAGCAGUAGGGAAUGUUCGGCAAUGGACGAAAGUAUGACCGAGCAACGCCGCGUGAGUGAAGAAGGUUUGCGGAUCGUAAAGCUCUGUUGUUAGAGAAGCGGUAUCUAACCAGAAAGCAACGGCUAACUACGUGCCAGCAGCCGCGGUAAUAC
rnacentral:rRNA from 1 species